rnacentral:rRNA from 1 species
GACGAACGCUGGCGGCGUGCUUAACACAUGCAAGUCGAACGGAAAGGCCCUGCUUUUGUGGGGUGCUCGAGUGGCGAACGGGUGAGUAACACGUGAGUAACCUGCCCUUGACUUUGGGAUAACUUCAGGAAACUGGGGCUAAUACCGGAUAGGAGCUCCUGCUGCAUGGUGGGGGUUGGAAAGUUUCGGCGGUUGGGGAUGGACUCGCGGCUUAUCAGCUUGUUGGUGGGGUAGUGGCUUACCAAGGCUUUGACGGGUAGCCGGCCUGAGAGGGUGACCGGGCCCAUUGGGACUUAGAUACGGCCCAGACUCCUACGGGAGGCAGAGGGGGGGAAUAUUGCACAAUGGGCGGGAGCCAGAUACAGCAACGCCGCGUGCGGGAAGACCGCCUUUGGGGUGUAAACCGCUUUCGCCUGUGACGGAGCCUGAGUGACGGUAAUGGGUAAAGAAGCCCCGGCUAACUACGUG